AAAGGGUCGGUCAUUGGAUCCUCCCGUCAUUCUUCCAGUAAAAAGGCAGUGACACUAUUAAUGCGAAAACAUUUCCAGACAGCACAGAGGAGAAGGGAGGCUCAUCCACUGGGCACAUCUUUCCCAGUCAUGAUGCUUACUGGUUUCUUCUGUCUACUCCUCAUCACAGGUGGAAGUACUUUCAAUUAUUCGGAACAACCAGAGGUUCAAGCGGUCUCCAAUCAGGACAACGAGGAAGACGUUGUGGACUCUGAGGGUACCUGCAGUUAUCAGGAUGUUUUAAACCACCUGAACCUGACCAAAAGCACCGAGCUGUACUCGAUGACCCGACCUGUUAAACAUCACAAAUCCACUACUCGAGUACACCUUCAAAUGGCGAUCUAUGGCAUCCUCGAUGUGGUAAGUUUUAAAUAAAGCUUUAAAUUGUCUCUAUUCUCCUUUGGAUUUUAAGAAAUAUUUCCUUUU